rnacentral:rRNA from 1 species
CCGGUUGCCGGCGACCGGCGCACGGGUGAGUAACACGUAUGCAACCUGCCCGUGGCAGGGGGAUAAGCCGGGGGAAACCCCGUCUAAUACCGCGUAACGCGGCCUUGGGGCAUCCCAAGGCCGCCAAAGGGAGCAAUCCCGGCCACGGAUGGGCAUGCGGCGCAUUAGCUAGUCGGCGGGGUAACGGCCCACCGAGGCGACGAUGCGUAGGGGUUCUGAGAGGAAGGACCCCCCACACUGGUACUGAGACACGGACCAGACUCCUACGGAAGGCAGCAG